GCAGCGGAAGCAAGACCACAAGCAGCAGCAACAGCAGCAAAAAAUGAUGCGCCGGCAGCAGGUGCAAUAUGAGAAAUGGUUGCAAGAGCAAAAAACUUGGCAGCAGGAACAAGACCACCAGCAGCAGCGACAGCAUCAAAAAAUGAUGCGCCAGCAGCCUCGGAAGUCUGCUAGUGAUACACAGCAGGAAAGUGAAUGGCCAAAAGGAUAUAAUAGGAAUGGAAAGCAAAAGGAUAAUUAAUAUGCACCAAAUUGAAGGAUAUACUCAGAGAACGGCUCUCAAGGAAUAAGUUCAGAUGGAACUGAAUCAACAGACUACAUUCUGCCAGACCAAAUUGAUAGUGAGACAUCUAUUGCAAGAUCAAGUAGCCUAAUCAUAGUUAAAUAUAGACAGUUUAUGGAGAUUUAAAGUAUGUGAAUAUAAAAUGUAUAAUAUAUAGGCUGAA